rnacentral:misc_RNA from 1 species
GCUUCGUAUGUUGUUGGUAGAGACAAAGAUGUUGCUGAAGUGAAGGAGAAGAUUUUGAACAUGAGAAAGGAUGUUGUUCUGUGCACCAUUCCCAUUGUGGGUAUGGGGGGUUUAGGGAAAACUACUCUGGUAAAGAGAAUUUUCAAUGACGUAGAGAUUGAAAAACACUUCGUAAAGAGAGUUUGGUUGUGUCUACCUGAAAUGUCAGACGCUAAGAGCUUUCUUGAACUGAUCCUCCAUUCAUUGACAGGGCAGAAACUUG